UACAGAGGGGGCAAGCGUUAUUCGGAAUUAUUGGGCGUAAAGGGCGCGUAGGCGGCCUGGCAAGUGGAUGGUGAAAUCCCUCGGCUUAACCGAGGAACUGCCAUCCAGACUGCUUGGCUUGAGACCGGGAGAGGUGAGUGGAAUUCCAGGUGUAGCGGUGAAAUGCGUAGAUAUCUGGAGGAACACCGGUGGCGAAGGCGGCAUCCUGGACCAACACUGACGCUGAGGAGCGAAAGCCAGGGGAGCAAACGGG
rnacentral:rRNA from 1 species